UGUACGGCGUUGGUCGGUCGGCUCGGUGCUCGCGCGCCGAACGGUGGGCNCCCCGUCCGCUUCAUUCUCUCCCCGGGCGCGGCUUGCGCCCCGGUGGGAAGUGCGGGUAUCCUGUGUUGCUUACCGCUGCGGCGGAAUUCGACGGUUUCGGUUUUGAAGUCCGCCUUGCGCCUCGCGGGGCGCGGGGUGGACGCAGGGCUUGCUCCGUGAUCCUGGCGUGCCUCGUGCCGCCUCGGCCCACGGAGACUGUGCUCGUGCUCUCGGGUGCGGAACGCUGUGCGCGGGCGUGGGGUCUAGGCCCCGUUUCGUCCGAGCCAUCACUCGCAUUGCGGAAGACUGCCUCGCCCGUCUCGGCGGCCGCGGAUGGGACCUUCCUGCCGCGGCCGGCUUGCGGGCGCCGGCGUCSUUGAGGAAUGCYAC
rnacentral:misc_RNA from 1 species